UGAAGGCGCUAAGCGUCCCUUGUGCCGGCUCCGGCAGUCUCUUGCCAGGGUGUAACGCUGUACCACGCAGAGGACAUUCGUUGUCCCGUACGCGCCACACCCUUCUCCAGAACUCUGUACAUAUAUCUAAAUAUAUAUAUUUCUAUACGUUCACCUUUGACAUUCACCUGAAAACCACAGAAACUCACCAAGAGUGAUUUUACCUACUAUACAAAGAAACAUCAUGCAAAUGUCAAGGUGAAUAGCAACGUGGAGUCAGCAAACACAGCAGCUGGUGGGACCCUUGUUCCAAUAACUCUUUUUUUUUUUUUUUAUGUAGGAGAGACACUGACCAAAGUAAAACAAAAAUCCAAUAAAAAAAAAAUGCCCUCUGAAA